UGCUACAUCACCGACACGUGCGUAUUAGGAUUGUGGACUUGAGAAAAUGUUUUAAAGCGGUAGCUAUAAGGAGGAAAUAUACCGCAAAAUUUCCCAGAGAGGAGGUGGAGACUAUGAAUUGUGAGUAUGUUAAAACACAGACAUGUAAUGAUGCUUUUUAACUUAAAGUUUGUGUUAAUAUCUUACAUUUGUUUUUGCCAAUUUCAGGGGUGACAAUAUAUUUUUGGCUUGUUUUGAUCAGGGGGCCAAAAACAAAUUAUUAAAGCUGCAGUAUAUAACUAUAUUACCCUCUACAGCUAUGAACAGAGCAAGCAGCAACCAAAGGAGGACAUCAACACCUGUGAAACAGACAUCAGUGACCCGUGAAUCAAGGAAUCGCACCCCACAGUUUAGACGUGGAGAGACAGAAGUCUUAAGCUAAGAACUGACCCAAGAUGGAUCUAGCAGCGGUCUUCCUCCAGUUGAGCCGAGCGAACCUCUCUAUAAUUGAAUACUCACGUCUGUUCAGCACCAUUGCCAGAUGCACUGGAUUUGCUGAUAAUCACUUGAAGUCCAUUUACAAGAUCAGCCUCCUUGCCCACGAAUGGAGGGAGUUGCCGGAGAACAGUGAUUGCACGUGGGAGGAGUACAUGGAUUUCAUUUUAGAGAUGUUUGCUUCUGAGAGUACUCAUAAAGAGCCAACGCCCACGCCUGCCACGGCCAAUGAGCUGGAAGUCUCCUACGUCCCAGAGCCAGUGUUGCCUGCCUCGUCCGUCCCAGAGCCUGCGUUGCCAACUUUGACCAUCCGGAGGAGGAGGAGACGAAGAAAGGCUUCCACGGCCCCGUCCCCUGAGCCUUCCACGACCCCGCCCCCGGAGCCCUCCACGGCUCCGCCUUUCACGGCUCCUCCCCAGAGACCAUUCCUCACGUGGCUCUGCCCGCUCCCCUAGAGACUCCAACAGUUACGUCCACAUUACUAGUGACUUCCCCUAUAGCAGCUCCACCUCCUGACCCAGUCGUUGUCCUGUGGCCUCCUCCCAGGCCUCCUGACCCAGUCCAUGUGGCCUCCUCCCAGGCCUCCUGACCCAGUCCCUGUCCUGUGGCCUCCUCCCAGGCCUCCUGACCCAGUCCCUGUCCUGUGGCCUCCUCCCAGGCCUCCUGACCCAGUCCCUGUCCUAUGGCUGCCUCCCAGGCCUCCUGACCCAGACCCUGUUCUACAGCCACCUCCCAGAGCCUCCCGACCCGGUCCCAACCUUGAGGUCAUCCAUCCCCUUGGUCUCGUGGCUGCCCGUUUGGUCUGCUCUGGGUCUCCUUGGUCUCCUUGGUCUCCUAGCCGCCCGUCUGAUCUGCUCUGGUUUCCUUGGUCUCCUGGCCGCCUGAUCUGCUAUGUUUUGUUAUGCUCUGUGCUAGGUUCCCUGUGUUUUUCUUUACUCUGAGUUUUAUUGUUUAUUUUAAUAAAGCUGCACUUAGAUCCUCAUUCUUUGCCUGCCUUGUCACAGUUUCAUUAAUUGUUUAUGCCAGUGCAGAGAAUCAACCAUUUUCCCUAUUAAUAAUAUUUCAAAAUUUCUCAACAGUAAAUGUUGCAAAAUUAUUUGGCCAAGAAUAUUACACAAUAGCAGUGAGGAAAAAAUGGAGCUUAAGCUGGCAUCAAACUAGGCAACUCAUCAGGGGCCGGUUGCACCAGCUGUGCGUAAGUUACAACUUAGCCUAGUUUUGAUGUAAAUGGUAACAGAUACCCCUUUUCCACCAAUGCAGUUUGAGUACAAAGCCAGAG